rnacentral:rRNA from 1 species
AAAUUGAAGAGUUUGAUCAUGGCUCAGAUUGAACGCUGGCGGCAGGCCUAACACAUGCAAGUCGAACGGUAACAGAAAGCAGCUUGCUGCUUUGCUGACGAGUGGCGGACGGGUGAGUAAUGUCUGGGAAACUGCCUGAUGGAGGGGGAUAACUACUGGAAACGGUAGCUAAUACCGCAUAAUGUCGCAAGACCAAAGAGGGGGACCUUCGGGCCUCUUGCCAUCGGAUGUGCCCAGAUGGGAUUAGCUAGUAGGUGGGGUAACGGCUCACCUAGGCGACGAUCCCUAGCUGGUCUGAGAGGAUGACCAGCCACACUGGAACUGAGACACGGUCCAGACUCCUACGGGAGGCAGCAGUGGGGAAUAUUGCACAAUGGGCGCAAGCCUGAUGCAGCCAUGCCGCGUGUAUGAAGAAGGCCUUCGGGUUGUAAAGUACUUUCAGCGGGGAGGAAGGGAGUAAAGUUAAUAC